UAAUGUAUGUUACAUCAGAACUUUUGACCAGGUAGACCGAUUUCGACAAAUUUUGUUUUAAUCGAAAGGUGGUAUGUGCCAAUUGGUCCCAUUUAAAUUUAUUUGAGAUCUAACAACUACUUUUCGAGUUACAUCUAAUAAUGCGUUUUUACUUGACGCUUUUUUCGUCGACCUACGUUGUAUUAUACCGCAUAACUUUCUACUGGAUGUACCG
rnacentral:misc_RNA from 1 species